rnacentral:tRNA from 1 species
GGCCGGUUGGCCCAAUGGCAAGGCGUCUGACUACGAUACACGGUGGCAUCAGGAGAUUGUGUGUUCGACCCCCAUGCUGGUCA